CCUGGCUCAGCGCGUACGCUGGCGGCAUGGUUAAAACAUGCAAGUCGAACGCGAAAGCACUUCGGUGCAAGUAGAGUGGCGAAAGGGCGAGGAAUAAGUACCUAACGUGCCUUCAGGUAAGGGAUAGCUAAUGGAAACAUGUGGUAAUACCUUAUAAUCUCACUGGUCCAUAUGGACUUUUGAGCAAAGGCUUGCUGCCUGGGGAUCGGGAAACGUCCUAUCAGCUUGUUGGUGAGGUAAAGGCUCACCAAGGCUAAGACGGGUAGCGGGUGUGAGAGCACGACCCGCCGCAUCGGGACUGAGACACUGCCCGGACUCCUACGGGAGGCUGCAGUAACGAAUAUUCCGCAAUGCGCGAAAGCGUGACGGAGCAAUGCCGCGUGCAGGAUGAAGCCCCUCGGGGUGUAAACUGCUGUCAGGGGUCACCAAGUUCUGAGGAACCCCAGAGGAAGGGCCGGCUAACUUCGUGCCAGCAGCCGCGGUAAUACGAAGGGCCCGAGCGUUGCGCGGAAUCACUGGGCUUAAAGCGGCGUAGGCGGGCUUGCAAGUGCCUUGUGAAAUCCCACGGCUUAACCGUGGAACUGCUCGGUAGACUGCAAGCCUUGAGAUCGGUAGAGGCUGUCGGAACUCUAGGUGUAGCGGUGAAAUGCGUAGAUAUCUAGAGGAACGCCCAAGGUGAAGACAGGCAGCUGGGCCGAAUCUGACGCUGAGGCACGAAAGCGUGGGUAGCGAACGGGAUUAGAUACCCCGGUAGUCCACGCCCUAAACGAUGUGCACUAGAUUGUGGCGGUUCUGACACCGUCACGGUCGUAGCUAAAGUGUUAAGUGCACCGCCUGGGGAGUACGGUCGCAAGAUUAAAACUCAAAGGAAUUGACGGGGGCUCACACAAGCGGUGGAGCAUGUGGCUUAAUUCGAAGCAACGCGAAGAACCUUAUCCUGGGUUUGACAUGUAUGGAUUAACUCCCUGAAAGGGGAGCGACACUCCUUGCGUGGAACAUACACAGGUGCUGCAUGGCUGUCGUCAGCUCGUGCUGUGAAGUGUUGGGUUAAGUCCCUUAACGAGCGCAACCCCUAUCUUUAGUUGCCAGCGAGUAAUGCCGGGGACUCUAGCGAGACUGCCGGUGUCAAACCGGAGGAAGGUGGGGACGACGUCAAGUCCUCAUGGCCUUUAUGCCCUGGGCUGCACACGUGCUACAAUGGCGCGGACAGAGCGACGCAAUACCGCAAGGUGGAGCAAAUCGCACAAACCGCGCCCCAGUUCGGAUUGUGGUCUGCAACUCGACCACAUGAAGUUGGAAUCGCUAGUAAUCGCGUAUCAGCUACGACGCGGUGAAUACGUUCCUGAGCCUUGUACACACCGCCCGUCACGUCAUGGGAGCCGGGAGCACCCGAAGCCGUACCGAUUCAGGUAUGUCUACGGUGAGAUCGGUGACUGGGACGAAGUCGUAACA
rnacentral:rRNA from 1 species